rnacentral:sRNA from 1 species
UGUAGGUGCGUGCCGUAGGGCCAGGAA